rnacentral:rRNA from 1 species
AGAGUUUGAUCCUGGCUCAGGAUGAACGCUGGCGGCGUGCUUAACACAUGCAAGUCGAACGAAGCACUUUAUUACGAUUUCUUCGGAAUGACGAUUUAGUGACUGAGUGGCGGACGGGUGAGUAACGCGUGGGUAACCUGCCUCAUACAGGGGGAUAACAGUUAGAAAUGGCUGCUAAUACCGCAUAAGCGCACGGCAUCGCAUGAUGCAGUGUGAAAAACUCCGGUGGUAUAAGAUGGACCCGCGUUGGAUUAGCUAGUUGGUGAGGUAACGGCCCACCAAGGCGACGAUCCAUAGCCGACCUGAGAGGGUGACCGGCCACAUUGGGACUGAGACACGGCCCAAACUCCUACGGGAGGCAGCAGUGGGGAAUAUUGCACAAUGGGGGAAACCCUGAUGCAGCGACGCCGCGUGAGCGAAGAAGUAUUUCGGUAUGUAAAGCUCUAUCAGCAGGGAAGAUAAUGACGGUACCUGACUAAGAAGCACCGGCUAAAUACGUGCCAGCAGCCGCGGUAAUACGUAUGGUGCAAGCGUUAUCCGGAUUUACUGGGUGUAAAGGGAGCGCAGGCGGUGCGGCAAGUCUGAUGUGAAAGCCCGGGGCUCAACCCCGGUACUGCAUUGGAAACUGUCGUACUAGAGUGUCGGAGGGGUAAGCGGAAUUCCUAGUGUAGCGGUGAAAUGCGUAGAUAUUAGGAGGAACACCAGUGGCGAAGGCGGCUUACUGGACGGUAACUGACGUUGAGGCUCGAAAGCGUGGGGAGCAAACAGGAUUAGAUACCCUGGUAGUCCACGCCGUAAACG